AGAGUUUGAUCCUGGCUCAGAUUGAACGCUGGCGGUAUGCUUAACACAUGCAAGUCGAACGGUAACAGGCAAAGCUUGCUUUGCGCUGACGAGUGGCGGACGGGUGCGUAACGCGUGGGAAUCUGCCUUAUAGUGGAGGAUAGCCCGGAGAAAUCCGGAUUAAUACUGCAUAAGCCCUACGGGGGAAAGCUUGGGAUCUUCGGACCAGGCGCUAUUNGAUGAGCCCGCGUUAGAUUAGCUNGUUGGUAGGGUAAAGGCCUACCAAGGCGACGAUCUGUAGCUGGUUUGAGAGAACGAUCAGCCACACUGGGACUGAGACACGGCCCAGACUCCUACGGGAGGCAGCAGUGGGGAAUAUUGGACAAUGGGGGCAACCCUGAUCC
rnacentral:rRNA from 1 species